UUUUUUCGGAAAUAACGACAAACCUGCAAGGGCAGUCAAGCCAUUUCACUGAUUCCCCUGCUUUAUUUUUGUGAAAAUAAGGCGGGGAUUUAAUUAACCGACUCUCGGCAUAUCCUCCACGUAUCAACUGCAUGGUGUCAAGAUGCCACAGUCCAACAGCGACCACUCGGAGCCUGAGGUGUAAGGAAAGAAAGAGAAUGGUCCGUCGCGAACGUGGCCGUCGAGCGAGGGCCCCAGUUUACGCUCGUGUGAGGUGUGCUUGCUUGUUGGGGCAGAAUUUUUUCUUUUCUUUUAUUUAUUUAUUUAUUUUUUUUACAGAAACGUUUUGGGAGAAUAAAAAUCGAAUUGAUGAUGAAAUGAAAUGAACCUACUGUUGUCUGUUGACGGUGGUGGUGGUGGUGUUGUUAAGCUGCCCCAUGUUAGUGGACCCCAUAGGAGGAAGGGAGGGGAACGUGGGGCCCAUGACUGUUUUAUUGCGGUUUCCCUGCUUUUGACGACGUUUGUCUCCUUAUUUAAACCGGGGUGUCUGUGUACGGACAAGUGGGUGACCGAUGGUCCGAUCUGAUUCUCUGCUCUUAUCUAAUAUUAUUUGCAUUCAGUGCGGGGCUUCUUAUUUUGAUUUUUUUUUUUUAAUCUGUCAGAUUUAAUUAUCUUUGUUGUUAAGAGUUUAAGCGAUCUGGUGCUGAUUAAGGCCAAUAUCAUUAUAUUGGGUCUUGUAUGGGUAAAACUAACCCAAAACGAAAUGGUGGUGUUGAUAUUUUUAGAUGACAGAGUUCCCUUAACCGGCUGCAUUUUUGCCAGCGAUAUUUGAAUGCAUAUAUUCACAAAAUAAACUUAUAUUUUCUGGCACUCUGCCGCGUGAAUGUGCCAAAAUUAAAGGAAUGGGAACGCUGGAAAUUUG
rnacentral:lncRNA from 1 species